CGGGUGAGUAACGCGUGAGGAACCUGCCUCAAAGAGGGGGACAACAGUUGGAAACGACUGCUAAUACCGCAUAAGCCCACGGCUCGGCAUCGAGCAGAGGGAAAAGGAGUGAUCCGCUUUGAGAUGGCCUCGCGUCCGAUUAGCUGUUGGUGAGGUAACGGCCCACCAAGGCGACGAUCGGUAGCCGGACUGAGAGGUUGAACGGCCACAUUGGGACUGAGACACGGCCCAG
rnacentral:rRNA from 1 species